GGAUGAAGUUAAGAAUAUGAUAUGGGAAUCUGUCAAUUUGACAUACAAACUGGACCUAAAAUGAAGGAAUGGGUGUUUGAGCUCUACAAAUUCAAAGUGGCGUCAGUAUAAAACUCACCUCACUAGGACAUUCAUCCAACCAAAUAGAAAUAAUUCGAAGCUUCUGAACAAG